rnacentral:rRNA from 1 species
UUAAGCAUAUCAAUAAGCGGAGGAAAAGAAACCAACAGGGAUUGCCUCAGUAACGGCGAGUGAAGCGGCAACAGCUCAAAUUUGAAAUCUGGCCCUUGGGUCCGAAUUGUAAUUUGUAGAGGAUGUUUUUGGUGCGGUAUCUUCCGAGUUCCUUGGAACAGGACGCCUUAGAGGGUGAGAGCCCCGUACGGUUGAAUACCUAGCCUCUGUAAAACUCCUUCGACGAGUCGAGUAGUUUGGGAAUGCUGCUCUAAAUGGGAGGUAAAUUUCUUCUAAAGCUAAAUACUGGCCAGAGACCGAUAGCGCACAAGUAGAGUGAUCGAAAGAUGAAAAGCACUUUGAAAAGAGGGUUAAAUAGCACGUGAAAUUGUUGAAAGGGAAGGAUUUAUGACCAGACUUUUUCUGGGCGGAUCAUCCGGUGUUCUCACCGGUGCACUUCGUUCAGUUUAGGCCAGCAUCGAUUUUCGGUGGGGGAUAAAAGCUUUAGGAAUGUGGCUCCUCCGGGAGUGUUAUAGCCUAUUGUAUAAUACCCUGCUGGGGAUCGAGGUACGCGCUUCUGCAAGGAUGCUGGCGUAAUGGUUAUCAAUCACCCGUCUUGAAACACGGACCAAGGAGUCGAACAUUUGUGCAAGUGUUUGGGUGUUAAACCCUCACGCGUAAUGAAAGUGAACGGAGGUGAGAGCCCUUACGGGUGCAUCAUCGACCGAUCCUGAUGUUUUCGGAUGGAUUUGAGUAAGAGCAUAACUGUUCGGACCCGAAAGAUGGUGAACUAUGCGUGGAUAGGGUGAAGCCAGAGGAAACUCUGGUGGAGGCUCGCAGCGGUUCUGACGUGCAAAUCGAUCGUCAAAUCUGCGCAUGGGGGCGAAAGACUAAUCGAACC